rnacentral:rRNA from 1 species
UAGGGAAUCUUCCACAAUGGGCGCAAGCCUGAUGGAGCAACACCGCGUGAGUGAAGAAGGGCUUCGGCUCGUAAAACACUGUUGUAAGAGAAGAAUGACAUUGAGAGUAACUGUUCAAUGUGUGACGGUAUCUUACCAGAAAGGAACGGCUAAAUACGUGCCAG